rnacentral:rRNA from 1 species
GAUGAACGCUGGCGGCGUGCCUAAUACAUGCAAGUCGAGCGAACAGACGAGGAGCUUGCUCUCCUGACGUUAGCGGCGGACGGGUGAGUAACACGUGGAUAACAUACCUAUAAGACUGGGAUAAUUUCGGGAAACCGGAGAUAAUACCGGAUAAUAUAUCGAACCGCAUGGAUCAAUAGUGAAAGACGGUUUUGCAGUCACAUAUAGAUGGAUCCGCGCCGCAUUAGCUAGUUGGUAAGGUCACGGCUAACCAAGGCCACGAUGCGUAGCCGACCUGAGAGGGUGAACGGCCACACGGGAACUGAGACACGGUCCAGACUCCUACGGGAGGCAGCAGUAGGGAAUCUUCCGCAAUGGGCGAAAGCCUGACGGAGCAACACCGCGUGAGUGAUGAAGGUCUUCGGAUGGUAAAGCUCUGUUGUUAGGGAAGAACAAAUGUGUAAUUAACUAUGCACGUCUUGACGGUACCUAAACAAGAAGCCCCGGCUAACUACGUG